ensembl:lncRNA
AUGUCUGCACACACAUUAACAUGCCAUUUUAUGACUAGCCAGUUCCUGAGUGAACUUCUCUUCUUCUGUUGUCUCCGCUCUGUUUUACACAGCUCAACCACUCCCGGUGUCUAUACACAGCUCAACCACUCCCGGUGUCUAUACACAGCUCAACCACUCCCGGUGUCUAUACACAGCUCAAUCACCCCUGGUGUCUAUACACAGCUCAACCACUCCCGGUGUCUAUACACAGCUCAAUCACUCCCGGGUGUCUAUACACAGCCAUCCACCCCUGGUGUCUAUACACAGCUCAACCACUCCCGUGUGCUAAUACACAGCUCCAACCAAUCCCGGUGUCCUAGCACAUCUCAAUCACUCCCGGUGUCUAUACACAGCUCAAUCACUCCCGGUGUCUAUACACAGCUCAAUCACUCCCGGUGUCUAUACACAGCUCAACCACUCCCGGUGUCUAUACACAGCUCAACCACUCCCGGUGUCUAUACACAGCUCAACCACUCUCCAUGUCAGUGUGACUCUUAUAAUAACCAAUUCCAGUCAAAACAGACUAUAACCCCACCUACCCUUUUAUAGUUGAAAUGCACUAGCUACUGAUUCUCUCCAGCUGUAGACUCUAGUAAUGUUUGCCUCUGCAAGGGUGACUGUUUGAUUGGUUACUAAGCCGAUGAGAACUAAGGUGAUUGUUUGAUUGGUUACACCGUUCCUAUCUCUUAGGCUAGGGUGAUUUGAUUGGUUACUAAGUUCCCGUCCUACCUCAUCUCUUAAGCAAGGGUAAUUUUGAUUGGUUACUAAAUUCCAUUCCUACCUCAUCUCUUCCUCUACUAAAGUCUUGGUGCACUGUGGGUAUAGUUGAAUAUUCUCCAUGUUAGUUCUGGCAUGUUUAUUAGGCCCUGGUGUAUGUUGACAUGGUGCAGGAGCAAAAGGAUCUUAUUGAAUUGCAAUUACAUGUGUCAUUUAACAGAAGCUCUAAUCCAGAGCAAUUUACAAUACCGUCCAUUACAGUACUGUUCUACAUCUCAGUAGCCAGCGAUAUGUUACUAAAAGCUGCUUCCAGGUCCUGAGCUGCACAGGAAGGAGGUUUUUGCCCCGUUGUUUAUUUCUUACUGCUAUUCCCUGCAUGCUACAGCACCACCCUGAGCUCAGGCACAGCAACUGCACUUGCUUUCCAACACACCUGCACUUGCUUUGAACACAUCGCACAUUGUUUAUCUAUUUACACUCUGAUGAGUGUAAAUGGGAGGAUGCUGACUUUCCUUUACAAACUGGGAAUGGCAUGAAAGCAGGUGUCAGAUCACAGGGGACUGGUAUUUCCCGAGUGCAACAUGCAAACAUAGCAGCAACACGUCGUCGUCAUCAUCCCUUGUCUGGAGAAGACACCCAGUCUGUUACGACAUCACCAGCUUUUCACCGUGUGUUGUUAAUGUCCUUUGUUCUUCUUUUAUUUUAUUGUAGCGUUUAAAUGUUGUUGUUUUUAACCAGGACAGAUUCAUGCAAGCCAUAACAGAGUGCAGCUUCAUUAUAUUGUGUGAACUUAGGCAGACCACGCUUCCUCAGCCCCCUUAUAGUACAUUUGGAUUGGCAAGUGGUGUGGGAGACUGAAUUAGUAAGGUUCACAUACAUCUGCCCUCUGUUAAAAAAGAAAAAUAACUCCUGUUUAUUUCUCAAUAUAGAAUCCUGGAAACAAGUAUUUUUUUUGGGGGGGGGGGGGUAGUUGAUAAGGCAGUUGGUUGAUAAGGUUAGUGUUAAGGCUGAAGAUAUGGGGGUUCCAUGAGAAUCUGCUUAUUGUUACAGUAAUAGUUAAGAGGGCCCCAUUUUUAGUAAUAGACUCCGUGUCCCAUGAUGCUUCUGUGUCCCAUACCUCUGUUACAACUCCUGUUAAAUCUCUCAACUGUCAAUACACCUGUUUCAGUAGCUUAAGAGAGAUCUGGGCCCAUAUCCACAGAGUCUAACAGUAGGAGUGCUGAUCUAGGAUCUUUCCAUAUAUUCUUAUUAAUUCUGAUCGAAAAGGCUAAACUGAUCCUAUAUCAGCCCUCCUGCUCUGAGAGGCUUUGUGGGUACGGGCCCUGUUCUAAGUUGUGGGGCAUACGUUUUAUCUCAUCUCCAGUGUCCUUCCCAUACUGUAAUUCCAAACUACAGUACCCAUCAGGCACUGGUGCAGUCCCACCACUCCCUCAGGUAUCUAUCAGUCAGCUGUGUUUACACAGGCAGCCCAAUUCUGAUAUUUUUUUCACUAGUCGGUCUUUUGACCAAUCGGAUCAGCUCUGAAAAAGAUUUGACAUGGAAAGGCCAAUUAGUGGAGAAACGACCCAAAUUGGGCUGCCUGUGUAAACGCAGCCUAUGGUGUAUCUAUUCCAGAGCAACAGGACAAAUGCAGAGAAGUUAACACUAUUUGACAUUUUCUAACACUGGAGGUUUGUACUGCAAAAAAAUCCCACUAAUUUCUGAUUUUCUUAUUUUUGGUAAAGUUCUCAACUAAAGAAACAAGUAACGUUAGAAAUUCAACACUGAAAUUUGAACCUUUUUUGGCAUGAAAGUUGUUAAAGUUGCAUCUCGACUCAACUUACAUUUGUCUUUUUUCUAAGUCUAUUUGUAUCUGUUGUUUCUUUAAGUAAACAAUUAAGAAUAUUAAAGGAUUUAAUCAGGCAAUUCUUAUUCUUUCAGUUUGUUUGAAUUAUGCAGCAGAACCACACUGUCUUCAGACCGAUGACGUCGUUCUAAUGAGACCGCGGUGUCAUUGUCUUAGGUCAGCUGAUAGUUAAUGGCAGAACCAUUUCUGCCUCUGAUCUGGCAGACUCAUUAAACACAA